rnacentral:RNase_P_RNA from 2 species
AUACUUGGGUAAUCGCUGUAUGACUUGCUCAUGCAGAGGAAAGUCCAUGCUCACACAAGCUGAGAUGCUUGUAGUGUUCGUGCUUGACGAAACCAUAAGUCAAGGUAGUGUAACAGCUAACGGCAGAGAAAUGAUCUACGUCCAAACGGAUACGAUCAGAUUAUCUUGAAAGUGCCACAGUGACGGAGUUCCAUUGGAAACAAUGGAAGUGGAACGAGGUAAACCCCACGAGUGAGCAACCCAAAAUUAGGUAGGGGCACUUUUCUGAGGGAACGAAACCAACAGGAAAAGACAGGUUUUCACCUGUAGAUAGAUGAUUACCACCAGAGUACGAGGUUGACCGCCGUUUGCAGUACAAAGGUACAGAACAUGGCUUACAAAG